AUGCCGCAGGCGUUUCCCUCCGGCCGGAUUUCUGUGUACAGCAUUCCAGCUCCAGAUGCUGAACGGGCUGCAGGGCAGGAAAGUCUGUGUGUUUAUGACUGCCCAUCCUACCAAGAAGGUAGGAUGCAUCGUUUCUUCAAAUGGGUGAAGUUGUGUUUCUGGAGGAGAUGUCUUCUAGGAAUAUUACCUACAGUUUCUUUAACAGUGACAGCAAUUGUGCUUCUCCUGCACUACUCACUCUCAUUUUCCUUUAUUUAUAUCAGUGGAAGUGUAGAAAUUCCUAAUUUGACUUAUACAAAUGACCUCAAUGAUCCAACAUCACAGAAGUUCAUCCUGCAAGCAAAGGCAAUACAAAAUUAUUUGGCAGAAACAUAUGAAUCUUCCUUCUUGGGAAAAUACUACUUGAAGUCUGUAGUGGCUGCUUUCAGUGAAGGAGAAUCUGGGCUACGAGCUUACUUCUGGAAUACAUUCUGGGCACCACAAGAUAUGGUUGCUUCUCUUAAAAAAUUAACCCUAGUGAAACAAAAAGAAAUCUGUAGUAAACAAGCAGUUCCCUUGUUCAGUUCUGGGCAGGAAGAUUUUGAUCUUGUUGCAAUGGAGCUUUUUGGUAACAAUUUU
rnacentral:lncRNA from 1 species